rnacentral:rRNA from 1 species
GAUGAACGCUGGCGGCGUGCCUAAUACAUGCAAGUCGAGCGAACAGACGAGGAGCUUGCUCCUCUGACGUUAGCGGCGGACGGGUGAGUAACACGUGGAUAACCUACCUAUAAGACUGGGAUAACUUCGGGAAACCGGAGCUAAUACCGGAUAAUAUAUUGAACCGCAUGGUUCAAUAGUGAAAGACGGUUUUGCUGUCACUUAUAGAUGGAUCCGCGCCGCAUUAGCUAGUGGUAAGGUAACGGCUUACCAAGGCAACGAUGCGUAGCCGACCUGAGAGGGUGAGCGGCCACAUGAGAACGGAGACACGGUCCAGACUCCGAGGGGAGGCAGCAGUAGGGAAUCUUCCGAAAUGGGGGAAGGCCUGAGGGAGCACCGCGGCGGGAGUGAUGAGGGUCUUGGGAUCGAAAAACUUUGUUUUGAGGAAAAAAAAAAUGUGUAAGUAACUAUGCCCGUCUGGACGGUACCUAAUAAGAAAGCCCCGGCUAACUACGUG